GCGGCCAGCCCGGAAACGAAGGUGGAUCAGUAACUAAAGUUGGGAAAAGUUAUUCCCCGCACUAUUUUUGAAUUAUUGAACCCUGAAGUUGUUAUCAUGCCCCAUGCUUUGAAAUGGCUUAAAUAGGGUUCUUAGGAUAUGCAAUGUACCUCAGCUAUAGUUUUAUAAUUUUGUAACCAUGCAGCCACCAUAUAACUUUUUAUAUUAUGUGUAUAUACAAUGGGGAUUGUAACUCUGUAACUGGUCACUAGUGGUGGCACAGAGAAUUGCUUUUAGUGUUAAUUUGAAUUGUAUUACCCAGAUUUAGUCUGGGUGCUUGGAGGCUCAGUCCUGUACUGUACCUGCAAAUUCUGCUAACAGAGAAUUGUUGUUGUAUGGAAUGGAGGCCGGCGCUGUCAGAGGCGAGGCUUUAGCUUGAUGUUGACAACUUCCUCAGUUGUGAGGUUCAAAGAAAUUCUGUAACUGAUGGAUGAUCUAGGUGAAGACGAAACUCUCCGCAAUGUAAGAGUAGGAAGUAGGAACAUCAAGAUUGAUAUGAAUGAUUCAUCUUCCUUGUAUCUGUAGUUUGUUAGAAAUUACGACCAUUUUUGUUUUUUUGUUUUUGCCCUUUUACUUAGUUUUGGCGGGAUGCCACAACAGGUUGAAACACAUAUCGAAAUCGAAUGUUGGUUCGGGUCAGUCCAUUUUGUUGUACUAAGAGAAAAAAUUGAGUUAUAUUGAAGGUAAAGAAACAAUAUUUCAGUCACUGACCUCUUCUUCCCAUGUUGAAUGAAUUGUUAGCAAAAUGUGAUUCAUUAACCAGAAUACCAACCUUACUGCUAUUUAAGGCUUCAAUAUUCGGGUUCGGGGCACGCUGAAUCCUGAAGGAGGUGUUAAACGGGUCGGUCAAAUUUAGGUGCAACACACGAGUCACAUUGAAUGUAUGAUAAUAAUAAUACAUUUACAUUAAUUUUACUACUGCUGUACGGCCAAGGCGGAUGUACGGUACAGCAGUUUGGUUUUCUUUUUGGGGAUUUUAAGAUUUUGGUUUUUUGUUUAUUGACCAUUGGCGUCCAUUCAAGAAUUUUUCUGUAGCUUUAGAAAGUUGAAUGUUGCUUGAGUACUGAAAAUUAGUGCCUUUUCUUUUUCUUUUUUUUUCCAAUCAUUAAUGAGUACUAGAGGUUUUUAAAAUAUAUGAUUGUUGCUUUGCUUUGGUUUUUAAUUGGGAUUCUUGCUUUUGGUUUUUGCAGGUUUUGGGUUUUUAUCAGCUUAUGAAUUACGAAAUUGUGGGAAUGAGAAACCGGUCCACGGUAACUCUUCCAGAAAAGAGAAGGAAGAAGCUUCCUCAGAUGACGAACAGCAAGACUCAAGGAGAGGGCGCUCAAAAUUGGAACGUUGGACAAGCCAUAAGGAGAGGGAUUUCAAUAUCAACAGUAAGUCGUCAUCUUCCCUGAAGUUUAAAGAAAUUAAUAAGAAUAGUAAUGGCAGAACGUUAGAGACCAGCAAAAUUCCAGAGGAACCUGCUACAGCAGUUGAGCCUGUUGAUAAGCAAAGCCCCAUGGCUGAUAAGAAAGAUGGUAGUAAUCCUGAGAAUACAAAACCAGUGGACGAUCGGCACCUUGACACAGUUGAGAAGCUGAAGAAGCGAAGUGAGCGAUUCAAGCUCCCAAUGCCAAGUGAGAAGGAUACGUUGGCAAUAAAGAAAAUGGAGAGUGAACCUCUACCUUCUACCAAAAGUGAGACUGCUGCAGGCUCAGAAAUCAAACAGGAGCGGCCAGCCCGGAAACGAAGGUGGAUCAGUAACUAAAGUUGGGAAAAGUUAUUCCCCGCACUAUUUUUGAAUUAUUGAACCCUGAAGUUGUUAUCAUGCCCCAUGCUUUGAAAUGGCUUAAAUAGGGUUCUUAGGAUAUGCAAUGUACCUCAGCUAUAGUUUUAUAAUUUUGUAACCAUGCAGCCACCAUAUAACUUUUUAUAUUAUGUGUAUAUACAAUGGGGAUUGUAACUCUGUAACUGGUCACUAGUGGUGGCACAGAGAAUUGCUUUUAGUGUUAAUUUGAAUUGUAUUACCCAGAUUUAGUCUGGGUGCUUGGAGGCUCAGUCCUGUACUGUACCUGCAAAUUCUGCUAACAGAGAAUUGUUGUUGUAUGGAAUGGAGGCCGGCGCUGUCAGAGGCGAGGCUUUAGCUUGAUGUUGACAACUUCCUCAGUUGUGAGGUUCAAAGAAAUUCUGUAACUGAUGGAUGAUCUAGGUGAAGACGAAACUCUCCGCAAUGUAAGAGUAGGAAGUAGGAACAUCAAGAUUGAUAUGAAUGAUUCAUCUUCCUUGUAUCUGUAGUUUGUUAGAAAUUACGACCAUUUUUGUUUUUUUGUUUUUGCCCUUUUACUUAGUUUUGGCGGGAUGCCACAACAGGUUGAAACACAUAUCGAAAUCGAAUGUUGGUUCGGGUCAGUCCAUUUUGUUGUACUAAGAGAAAAAAUUGAGUUAUAUUGAAG
rnacentral:lncRNA from 1 species